CAACCAACAAAUAUCUCAAAGUAUGUAAAUUAUUUAUAAUUUAAUGUUAACUUGAGGAAAGAUAUUUACAAUCUAAUGUCAAAGCAUGUAAAUUAAUUUUUUUUCAUUUGACUGGUAGCUAUCACCACAGUCCCUAGAGAAGGGGACCAUUCAAACACGCAUGUUUGGAAUGCCAAAACAAAGCCAAAUGAACAGGGAAGAAAGAACUACAGAUCAAGGGAAAUGAUCAGCAACAAACAACCUAAGAAAGAAUAUUAAAUUAGGGAACAAGCAAUACCUGAAUCGACGACGAUGACGGUGAUGAGCGAAGAUAGGAAGACCGGCGACGGCAA
rnacentral:lncRNA from 1 species